rnacentral:rRNA from 1 species
UGGGGAAUUUUGGACAAUGGGGGAAACCCUGAUCCAGCCAUCCCGCGUGUGCGAUGAAGGCCUUCGGGUUGUAAAGCACUUUUGGCAGGAAAGAAACGUCAUGGGUUAAUACCCCGUGAAACUGACGGUACCUGCAGAAUAAGCACCGGCCACCUACGUGCCAGCAGGCGCGGUAAUACGUAGGGUGCAAGCGUUAAUCGGAAUUACUGGGCGUAAAGCGUGCGCAGGCGGUUCGGAAAGAAAGAUGUGAAAUCCCAGAGCUCAACUUUGGAACUGCAAUUUAAACUACCGGGCUAGAGUGUGUCAGAGGGAGGUGGAAUUCCGCGUGUAGCAGUGAAAUACGUAGAUAUGCGGAUGACCACCGAUGGCGAAGGCGGCCUCCAGGGAUAACACUGACGCUCAUGCACGAAAGCGUGGGGAGCAAACAGG